GCAUCGAUAGCUCAGUGGCAGAGCGGUGGGGCGUUUACCCAUGCGGCCCGUGUUCGAUCCCCGGUCGAUGUA